rnacentral:rRNA from 1 species
GACAGAGGUGCCGAGCGUUAGGCGGAAUCACUGGGCUUAAAGCGUGUGUAGGCGGGUCGUUAAGUACCUUGUGAAAUCCCCCGGCUCAACCGGGGAAUGGCUGGGUAUACUGGCGAUCUUGAGCGAUCCAGGGGCAGAUGGAACAAGUGGUGGAGCGGUGAAAUGCGUAGAGUAUCACUUGGAACGCCAAAGGUGAAGACAGUCUGCUGGGGAUCUGCUGACGCUGAGACACGAAAGCCAGGGGAGCGAACGGG